CUAUGACUUAUAGUCAUGGCGGAAGGAG
rnacentral:ncRNA from 1 species